rnacentral:lncRNA from 1 species
AUGCACAUGUGCAAUCAAAGAGUUAAGGAAACAGUAUUCCAAGCAGACCUAAAUAAACAAACAGAUACUAAGGCAGAGGCAGAGAGUUUAGGCUUGUUUAACAAAAAUGAAAACCUGCCAGACAGCAUAUUGAGGUGCCUUGCCCAGAUUUUUAGAUGCAAGAUGUAUAUGGGGAAUUAAGUUAAAUUCCCGUUGCCAGCCUGCUGCAUGUAAUAUUGCAAUGACUAGAGGUGAGGCAAGUCAGCACAGCCAUUCCUGCCAUAUACACCCAAGGAAUCCAAACCCUCCUCAGUGCCUCUCUUAAAUGUUUCCUUUUCUUUAACAGUUUCUAAAAUUUCCAGUGUGACAAGCUUCUGUACCUAAAAAAGACACAAUGUUAUUUAAUCGUAAGAGAUAUGUCAAAUGUUAAUCACAAAAGAUUUGGGAAUUAUAAUUACCUAAGGGUUACAUUUUGUAAAAAUUUAUCCUUGUAUUCUCACACUCAUAUCUUUGAUGUUCCCAUCAGGUCCAAGAAGGAAACAUAUCAUGUCAUCAAGCUGUGUCACACUAUUGUUUUAUGAACAAGAUUGAAACACCAUUAUCGUUUCCUGGAUUAUCUCAAUUAGACUUUAGGUUUGAAGGGAUGAGAUGGUUGCCUCAAUGGAUACUACCAUGUGGUCAUCACCUUCUCUACCAAACAUAUUUCUCUUUUUGACUGUUUGGUAGCCAACACCCUCUUCCCUGAUCUCCCUUGAGGUAGAAGUGGGAGGAAAUGGCCACUUCUCACUAUUACAGAAGCCAUAUCCUCUCUCUCACUGUCCUGGUGCAGGUUGAGGAGACUUUUAAUGAUGAAAGUGUGACACA